rnacentral:rRNA from 1 species
GACGAACGCUGGCGGCGUGCUUAACACAUGCAAGUCGAACGGAAAGGCCCUGCUUUUGUGGGGUGCUCGAGUGGCGAACGGGUGAGUAACACGUGAGUAACCUGCCCCUGACUUUGGGAUAACUUCAGGAAAAUGGGGCUCAUACCCGAUAGGAGCUCCUGCUGCAUGGUGGGGGUUGGAAAGUUUCGGCGGUUGGGGAUGGACUCGCGGCUUAUCCGCUUGAUGGUGGGGUAGUGGCUUACCAAGGCUUUGACGGGUAGCCGGCCUGAGAGGGUGACCGGCCACAUUGGGACUGAGAUACGGCCCAGACUCCUACGGGAGGCAGCAGUGGGGAAUAUUGCACAAUGGGCGGAAGCCUGAUGCAGCAACGCCGCGUGCGGGAUGACGGCCUUCGGGUUGUAAACCGCUUUCGCCUGUGACGAAGCGUGAGUGACGGUAAUGGGUAAAGAAGCACCGGCUAACUACGUG